UCAAUAAGCGGAGGAAAAGAAAAUAACUAUGAUUCCCUUAGUAACGGCGAGUGAACAGGGAAAAGCCCAAAUUUGUAAUCUGGCAUCUUUUACAGGUGUCCGAGUUGUAAUUUGUAGAACUGUUAUCCGUGCUGGACCAUGUACAAGUCUGUUGAAAAGCAGCAUCAUUGAAGGUGAAAAUCCUGUAAAUGAUAUGGACUACCAGUGCAUUUGUGAUACGGUUUCCAAGAGUCGAGUUGUUUGGGAAUGCAGCUCAAAGUGGGUGGUAAAUUCCAUCUAAGGCUAAAUAUAAGUGAGAGACCGAUAGCAAACAAGUACCGUGAGGGAAAGAUGAAAAGAACUUUGAAAAUAGAGUUAACAGUACGUGAAAUUGCUGAAAGGGAAACGUUUGAAGUUAGUAUUGUAUUCGUUGGAUCAGCUUCGCAAGGAGUGUAUUCCGAUGAUAAGCAAGUCAACAUCAGUCUAUGAGUGUUGGAGAAGGGUUUUGAGAAUGUAGCAAUUUAAUUGUGUUAUAGCUCGAGACUUGGAUACGACGCUCUUGAUUGAGGAACGCGUAGUAAGCUUUGAGCAGGUUCGAAAGGAUCUCCUUACUAUGGAUGUUGGUGAAUAACUUUAAGCGACCCGUCUGAA
rnacentral:rRNA from 1 species